rnacentral:misc_RNA from 1 species
GAACGCACAUUGCGCCCGCCAGUACUCUGGCGGGCAUGCCUGUCCGAGCGUCAUUUCAACCCUCAGGGCUCUCCGGCACUGGUCGGAGGGCGCUGGUGUUGGGGAUCGGCAGUCCCAGCGGCUGCCGUCCCUGAAAUGUAGUGGCGGUCCCACCGUGACCUCCCCUGUGCAGUACAUCGCUCGCAGAGGGACAGGGGUGCGGCCACGCCGUAAAACGCCCAACUUCUCAAGGUUGACCUCGGAUCAGGUAGGACUACCCGCUGAACUUAAG